UGAAGGUGGGAUUAUAGAACUUGCUUUGCUGUGACUAAAGAGAACUUGUAAGGAAGCCUGUGUCCAUAGAUUGUCAUGGUAGCUCGCAACCUUUACUUUCUUUACGUGUGUCAAGUAAUUCCAGGGAGUAGACGUGUAUGCAGCUGUAGUCUGGGAGGUCUGAUGUUAGGGAAAAAGAAGGAGGAAAGCAAGAUUAAAAAUCAUUCCUGGAAAUGCAAGAGAAAAUGUGCUGGAGUGGUGCUGUUAGUACCAGGGACACUGGACAAGAAAGAUAAGCAAGCCACUGCUGUCUGAUUCCUACAUAGCAGGUUAAAGUGUUGGAUUCAUAAUUCUCACUUCAGGAAGACUGAAAACCAGACUUUAUUCUGCUAGAUCCCAAGAUAUCAAGGAAGAGGAAAAGGGAAGAGCCCCAGGCACUAUUAAACCACAGCUACAAUCACUGCCAUUUGAAACUUCCCACCAAACAACUUUACUAUUCUGAUUUAAUUUCAACUCCCAGGGAGAGUUAGUAUUAAGAGGAAGUACCUAUCAUCCAUGAUAAUCCACCAGCUCUGGGGGUUUAGAAGGGAAAGGAUGGAGGUCUCAGUGCUUGAGGCUAGGCUGACAGCUGAGCAGGGCUCCAGCUCACCUUAAUCUCACUCCUGUGGAUGCCUGCACUAGGGGCCUGAGCAUUCUCCCAGAUCUCUGCAUAGGAGGCUGCCCUUAGGCAUUAUUAAGGUGUGAAAGCAGCAAGAAAGAGCAGAAUUAAACUGCUUUUCUCUAAUGUAUCCUUUUACAGCCCAGUGUAUUUUGCCCUAGGCUAGCCUUUUCUUCUCCUUUCACCCUCCACAUGCCAGUCCGAGACAGCCUUUCUUCUCACAGGAAUUAUUGUAUUAUUUCUUAAAUUCUUUUUUUCUUCUCCAUGGCUUUUCUAGAGGAAACCUAACAGUGUGGGUUUAUCAAUCAUUUUGACAAGACUCUGAAUUCCACUGAACAGAUUUUUGAAUAAAAAUUAUGAACAAAGAAA
rnacentral:lncRNA from 1 species